GACGGAGGAUGCAAGCGUUAUCCGGAAUGAUUGGGCGUAAAGCGUCCGCAGGUGGCCGUUCAAGUCUGCUGUCAAAGACCGGGGCUUAACUUCGGAAAGGCAGUGGAAACUGAACAGCUAGAGUAUGGUAGGGGCAGAGGGAAUUCCUGGUGUAGCGGUGAAAUGCGUAGAGAUCAGGAAGAACAUCGGUGGCGAAGGCGGGUCUCUGGGCCGAUACUGACGCUGAGGAGCGAAAGCGUGGGGAGCGAACAGG
rnacentral:rRNA from 1 species